rnacentral:rRNA from 1 species
UACGGAGGGUGCGAGCGUUGUCCGGAAUCACUGGGCGUAAAGGGCGCGUAGGUGGCGCGAGGAGUCUGUGGUGAAAGCCCGAGGCUCAACUUCGGGUCGGCCGCGGAUACUCUCGUGCUGGAGGGUGGUAGAGGCCAAUGGAAUUCCGGGUGUAGCGGUGGAAUGCGCAGAUAUCAGGAGGAACACCGGUGGCGAAGGCGGGUCUCUGGGCAGUAACUGACGCUGAGGAGCGAAAGCGUGGGGAGCGAACAGG